rnacentral:rRNA from 1 species
CUCAGAUUGAACGCUGGCGGCAGGCUUAACACAUGCAAGUCGAGCGGAGAGAGGUAGCUUGCUACUGAUCUUAGCGGCGGACGGGUGAGUAAUACUUAGGAAUCUGCCUAUUAAUGGGGGACAACAUCUCGAAAGGGAUGCUAAUACCGCAUACGCCCUACGGGGGAAAGCAGGGGAUCACUUGUGACCUUGCGUUAAUAGAUGAGCCUAAGUCGGAUUAGCUAGUUGGUGGGGUAAAGGCCUACCAAGGCGACGAUCUGUAGCGGGUCUGAGAGGAUGAUCCGCCACACUGGGACUGAGACACGGCCCAGACUCCUACGGGAGGCAGCAGUGGGGAAUAUUGGACAAUGGGGGGAACCCUGAUCCAGCCAUGCCGCGUGUGUGAAGAAGGCCUUAUGGUUGUAAAGCACUUUAAGCGAGGAGGAGGCUCUUUUGGUUAAUACCCAAGAUGAGUGGACGUUACUCGCAGAAUAAGCACCGGCUAACUCUGUGCCAGCAGCCGCGGUAAUACAGAGGGUGCGAGCGUUAAUCGGAUUUACUGGGCGUAAAGCGUGCGUAGGCGGCCAAUUAAGUCAAAUGUGAAAUCCCCGAGCUUAACUUGGGAAUUGCAUUCGAUACUGGGAAGCUAGAGUAUGGGAGAGGAUGGUAGAAUUCCAGGUGUAGCGGUGAAAUGCGUAGAGAUCUGGAGGAAUACCGAUGGCGAAGGCAGCCAUCUGGCCUAAUACUGACGCUGAGGUACGAAAGCAUGGGGAGCAAACAGGAUUAGAUACCCUGGUAGUCCAUGCCGUAAACGAUGUCUACUAGCCGUUGGGGCCUUUGAGGCUUUAGUGGCGCAGCUAACGCGAUAAGUAGACCGCCUGGGGAGUACGGUCGCAAGAUUAAAACUCAAAGGAAUUGACGGGGGCCCGCACAAGCGGUGGAGCAUGUGGUUUAAUUCGAUGCAACGCGAAGAACCUUACCUGGCCUUGACAUAC